rnacentral:rRNA from 1 species
UACAGAGGUCUCGAGCGUUAGGCGGAAUCACUGGGCUUAAAGCGUGUGUAGGUGGAUCGUUAAGUACCUUGUGAAAUCCCACGGCUUAACCGUGGAACUGCUUGGUAUACUGGCGGUCUUGAGCCAGCUAGGGGCUACCGGAACAAAUGGUGGAGCGGUGAAAUGCGUAGAUAUUCGCAAGAACACCAGUGGCGAAGGCGGCUCACUGGCCCGGUACUGACGCUGAGGUGCGAAAGCGUGGGGAGCAAACAGGG